rnacentral:rRNA from 1 species
CGUAGAAGACUAGUGUUAUUCAUCUUAAUAGGUUUAAGGGUACCUAGACGGUAAAUUAGUCUAAAUAUGAUACGGUUUACUAGAGUUAUAUAUAAGGAGGUGAGUAUUUAAGGAGUAGAGUUGAAAUUCAGUCAUACCUUAAGGACUGGUAAUGGCGAAAGCAACCUUUUAUCUAAUAACUGACGUUGAGGGACGAAGGCUCGGGUAGCGAACAGGAUU